rnacentral:rRNA from 1 species
AGUGGCGGACGGGUGAGUAACGCGUGGGUAACCUGCCCUAUACAGGGGGAUAACAGUUAGAAAUGACUGCUAAUACCGCAUAAGCGCACUAAAACCGCAUGGUUCGGUGUGAAAAACUGAGGUGGUAUAGGAUGGACCCGCGUCUGAUUAGCUUGUUGGUGAGGUAACGGCUCACCAAGGCAACGAUCAGUAGCCGGCCUGAGAGGGCGACCGGCCACAUUGGGACUGAGACACGGCCCAAACUCCUACGGAAGGCAGCAG